AGCUAUUAGUUUAGGAAACAAUAGAUUUUGAAAGUCUAUAUUGAAUGUUCAAUUCAUUCAAUAGCUU
rnacentral:tRNA from 1 species